rnacentral:tRNA from 1 species
GCCCCCGUAGCUCAACUGGAUAGAGCCGCGGCGUUCUAAUCCGCAGGUUGCAGGUUCGAGUCCUGCCGGGGGUACCA